rnacentral:pre_miRNA from 1 species
UCCCUGAGACCUUCGACUGUGUUUGACCAUUAAAUUAUCAGAAAUGAUUGCACAGUCGAUGAUCAUAGGGUUA